AAGUCGUAACAAGGUUUCCGUAGGUGAACCUGCGGAAGGAUCAUUAUCCAUCUCAAACCAGGUGCGGUCGCGGCCCCCGGGGGCUUGCUCCCGGGCGGUAGGGGUAACACCCGCACGCGCCGCCUGCCUGUACCCUCUUUUUACGAGCACCUUUCGUUCUCCUUCGGCGGGGCAACCUGCCGCUGGAACCAAAACAAAACCUUUUUUGCAUCUAGCAUUACCUGUUCUGAUACAAACAAUCGUUACAACUUUCAACAAUGGAUCUCUUGGCUCUG
rnacentral:misc_RNA from 1 species